rnacentral:lncRNA from 1 species
AAAAUAUAGCCCAUUCAUCCCUAACGCCAAACGGAUCAUCUUUCCUAUUGAAGCCCUUUCUUCUUGCAGAAAUUUCUCUCAUUUCUUACAACAUUCACCCAUUAUCCUCGUCCUCUGCUCUCCUCAUCGUGGGUGGAAACACGUGGGUGUUGGAAAUAAAGCAUCAACAAGACAAAAAUUGCAAAUUGAAGAUAUUUCCAAAUGUGUAAUCGAUGCCGACAAAAAGGUUCGAACUUUGUUGGAAAAAUUCAUGCUUUUUGUCAAAAAAAUUAGGUGAUAUCAAACCCAGAUUUGCAAAAACCAUACUGCUAAAGGGUUGGCAGCAUAGCUGUUUUUUCAGAUGAAGCCGUUACACAAAAUUGUUCCCUGCUUGAACCUAAAUUUGCCUCUUGUCAGCAAUGGCCCAACACCAACCAGCCCUAAAAUUAUAGAUGUGUCCUAAAGUUUCGUUGUUAAAUCCUUCUCAGCAUAAAUUCUUAACAUCAAGCUAUAUAUAGAAGAAUUGGGUUCAAACCCAUUUUUCUCAACAAAUCAUUUGAAAAAUUUUGAAGCUUUUUUUGGGUCUUUGUCCAAUUUCUUCAAAAUGUAUAUAAAAGUUUCAUAGGUUAGUUU